GUUUUUAGAAUCUCAGAAGUAUCUCAGUCUUCAUGAAUGCUUUUUAGCACUAGUUGAGGCAGAGCCCGGAGGGCUCCCCAGGAGCCUUGGAUCAGGAGGUGCUGACUGGAACCACCUUUGCAGCGACAUCACGUCCUCCAGUGUGACCCUCCCCACGUGACACGGGCAGUGCUGGCUGCGGUCUUUGCCCAGCUCUGGCACCCCCUCCAACCGCGCUGCCUUUUCUUUUCUUUUUUUAAAAUCUUGGUCUGGAGCUCACAUUCCUGUCGGCCAGUAGAGGGAGACAACGCGGUCCAGUUUCCCGGAAGUGGAGGCGCAAAGGUGACGAACAGCUCCACCCCAGAGGUGGUAUCUCUACUUAAUGAGAUGUAGAGCUUGAAGAUCUGCAGACAAAGAAUUCAAGAUAUAGUUUGUGAGAAGUUCCUACCUUUUAAGAGGAGAAGCAUAUGCAGAACAUGAAGUUGGAAAAAGAGUGAGGGAAGAGAGAAAAGGCAACAAAGCAAAGAAAAAAGGGAA
rnacentral:lncRNA from 1 species